rnacentral:rRNA from 1 species
UACGGGGGGAGCAAGCGUUGUUCGGAUUUACUGGGCGUAAAGGGCGCGUAGGCGGCGUGACAAGUCACUUGUGAAAUCUCCGGGCUUAACCCGGAGCGGCCAAGUGAUACUGUCGUGCUAGAGUGCGGAAGGGGCUACUGGAAUUCUCGGUGUAGCGGUGAAAUGCGUAGAUAUCAGGAGGAACACCAAUGGCGAAGGCAGCUCGCUGGGACGUGACUGACGCUGAGACGCGAAAGCGUGGGGAGCAAACAGG